UACGAAGGGAGCUAGCGUUGUUCGGAAUCACUGGGCGUAAAGCGCACGUAGGCGGAUGUGUCAGUCAGGGGUGAAAUCCCGGAGCUCAACUUCGGAACUGCCUUUGAUACAGCACAUCUGGAGUCCGGAAGAGGUGGGUGGAAUUCCUAGUGUAGAGGUGAAAUUCGUAGAUAUUAGGAAGAACACCGGUGGCGAAGGCGGCCCACUGGCCCGGUACUGACGCUGAGGUGCGAAAGCGUGGGGAGCAAACAGG
rnacentral:rRNA from 1 species